rnacentral:rRNA from 1 species
AGAGUUUGAUCCUGGCUCAGGAUGAACGCUGGCGGCGUGCCUAACACAUGCAAGUCGAACGAAGCUUGACGGAUGAUUUCUUCGGAAUGAAACCUGAUAUGACUUAGUGGCGGACGGGUGAGUAACACGUGAGCAACCUGCCUUUCAGAGGGGGAUAACGGCUGGAAACGGUCGCUAAUACCGCAUGAUGUGUUCGGAUGGCAUCAUCUGAACAUCAAAGAUUUAUCGCUGAAAGAUGGGCUCGCGUCUGAUUAGAUAGUUGGUGGGGUAACGGCCUACCAAGUCUACGAUCAGUAGCCGGACUGAGAGGUUGAACGGCCACAUUGGGACUGAGAUACGGCCCAGACUCCUACGGGAGGCAGCAGUGGGGAAUAUUGCACAAUGGGGGAAACCCUGAUGCAGCAACGCCGCGUGAAGGAUGACGGUUUUCGGAUUGUAAACUUCUUUUCUUAGUGACGAAGACAGUGACGGUAGCUAAGGAAUAAGCAUCGGCUAACUACGUGCCAGCAGCCGCGGUAAUACGUAGGAUGCAAGCGUUAUCCGGAUUUACUGGGUGUAAAGGGAGCGCAGGCGGGACUGCAAGUUGGAUGUGAAAUACCGUGGCUUAACCACGGAACUGCAUCCAAAACUGUAGUUCUUGAGUGAAGUAGAGGCAAGCGGAAUUCCGAGUGUAGCGGUGAAAUGCGUAGAUAUUCGGAGGAACACCAGUGGCGAAGGCGGCUUGCUGGGCUUUAACUGACGCUGAGGCUCGAAAGUGUGGGGAGCAAACAGGAUUAGAUACCCUGGUAGUCCACACUGUAAACGAUGAUAGCUAGGUGUGGGGGGUCUGACCCCUUCCGUGCCGGAGUUAACGCAAUAAGCUAUCCACCUGGGGAGUACGACCGCAAGGUUGAAACUCAAAGGAAUUGACGGGGGCCCGCACAAGCAGUGGAGUAU